rnacentral:rRNA from 1 species
UACGUAGGGGGCGAGCGUUGUCCGGAAUUAUUGGGCGUAAAGAGCUCGUAGGCGGUUUGUCGCGUCUGUCGUGAAAGUCCGGGGCUCAACUCCGGAUCUGCGGUGGGUACGGGCAGACUAGAGUGAUGUAGGGGAGACUGGAAUUCCUGGUGUAGCGGUGAAAUGCGCAGAUAUCAGGAGGAACACCGAUGGCGAAGGCAGGUCUCUGGGCAUUAACUGACGCUGAGGAGCGAAAGCAUGGGGAGCGAACAGG